CAGGGUAGAGGCACUCAGGGGCGCUGUGAGAAGCGCCCAGGACUCUGCAAAGGGCUCAUCCCCUGAAGGGACCCACCAGCUAGGCCUGAGCUCAGAACUUCCCAGUCCAGACUUCUGUGAGAACCUGCGAGGGAGCAGCAAGGGCCAGGGAUCUCUCUCUCCACCCCCGGGUGUGAAUUUCGACUUUCUCGGAGUCUGGAAUGCUGAGAAGCCUCGGGGCUUGGAUCUAGGACAAGCUGGAUCAGGCAAGCUCCAGCACAGGCAGGCGCUGGGCGGGAGUGGGUCAUGGGCGCAGGGAUGGGGAUCUUGCAGACUUUCUGGGAUUUAGCGGGACGGAGCCACACCCCUGGAGCCAUAGCCCCGCCUUCAGCACCUGCUUGUUUUCACCGCUUGGUUGCCGUGGAGACUCGUAGGUACCCUGGGCUAGCCGCUCUAGCUUGAGAGUCUCGUUGGGUUGCGGGCUCUCUGGCCCGCGGUUCUUCUCGAUGGCCUAAGCCUUCCGGAAGGGGGUCGGCCGGUGCGGAGCCGGGUUGAGGGGCUGAGAGCUUUUGGCCGCGGAUUGGAAGGUUUGGGGCGGGACUAGGUGGGCCGCACGGACCGGGCCUCUCUGUGAACAGUGACUGUCGAAGCCUGGAGGCAACGCGGGAGGCUCAGGUAGAAUCUGGGUCCCGAAUGCCAGAUAGUCUCGGGACUGUGGGCGGGCCCGCGCCUGUGGGCGGAGCCAUAGGCAUCACCUGGCGCGUAGCCCGGGUCAGUGCGGAGGUGCGGAUGGGGGCGGAAUGUUGGGACUGCUGAGGGCGGGGUCAAAGGCUUCACCUGUAGGGAGGGAUUUGAGGGUAGAGUGAUCACCUGUGAGCUAGGGGGGUGGGGUCACAGGCCUUCAUCUGGAGGAGGAGCCUCGAUCAGGUUGCCGGACUUUGAUUUGAGGCUCCCAAUGUGGGCGGAGAAAGAGGCCUCAGUUGGGGCGUGGCCUAAUGAUGAGGGGGAUGAUGGAGGCUGUCCUUGUAGGAACACCCAGCCUCUGAGGCCGGAUAAGCAUGAGGAUAACAAGUGAAUUUUGAGACACAGAGGAGGGAUGAGGCGACAUUAGGGCAUGGCCUGGACCAUUGGCUGCGAAGGGCCUAGGUGUGUGCGGGUUACUAGGCGACCCCAGGCUUGGAGGGCUGAAGCUCAAGGGUGGAGCUUGACCGUGGGGGUGUCUAGCCACGUGGUCAGUGCUUGGGGAAGGGGGGAGGUCUGGCUUUGAUGGGCGGAGGAUAAAGAUUGAUAUGGAAGUAGCCAAUCCCAGGCCUUGAGGCGGUCAAUGUUAAGUAAACUGGUUGGAUUUGGCUUUCUUGGUGCUUAGCUCAGCGGCGGCGGGGCGGGACCUGAUACUAAGGUACACGCUGGGGGCGGGGCCAGGCUUGUAGUAAAAGCGUUUGGGUUUAGGCUACAGUGUGGAAAAAGAACGCGGCCAGGGUCUGUGACGUGACCUGGGCGGGAUCAGGACUAGGUGGGAGGCGGUACCUGCGGUCUCAGCUGUGUGCUCCGCAGGAUGCGGGCUCCUGGAGCAGGAACAGCCUCUGUGGCCUCACUGGCGCUGCUUUGGUUUCUGGGACUUCCGUGGACCUGGAGCGCGGCGGCGGCGUUCUGUGUGUACGUGGGUGGCGGCGGCUGGCGCUUUCUGCGUAUCGUCUGCAAGACGGCGAGGCGAGACCUCUUUGGCCUCUCUGUUCUGAUUCGUGUUCGGCUAGAGCUGCGACGACACCGGCGAGCAGGAGACACGAUCCCGUGCAUCUUCCAGGCUGUGGCCCGGCGACAACCAGAGCGCCUGGCACUGGUGGACGCCAGUAGUGGUAUAUGCUGGACCUUCGCACAGCUGGACACCUACUCCAAUGCUGUAGCCAACCUGUUCCGCCAGCUGGGCUUUGCACCAGGCGAUGUGGUGGCUGUGUUCCUGGAGGGCCGGCCGGAGUUCGUGGGACUGUGGCUGGGCCUGGCCAAGGCCGGUGUGGUGGCUGCUCUUCUCAAUGUCAACCUGAGGCGGGAGCCCCUGGCCUUCUGCCUGGGCACAUCAGCUGCCAAGGCCCUCAUUUAUGGCGGGGAGAUGGCAGCGGCGGUGGCGGAGGUGAGCGAGCAGCUGGGGAAGAGCCUCCUCAAGUUCUGCUCUGGAGAUCUGGGGCCUGAGAGCAUCCUGCCUGACACGCAGCUCCUGGACCCCAUGCUUGCUGAGGCGCCCACCACACCCCUGGCACAAGCCCCAGGCAAGGGCAUGGAUGAUCGGCUGUUUUACAUCUAUACUUCUGGGACCACCGGGCUUCCUAAGGCUGCCAUUGUGGUGCACAGCAGGUACUACCGCAUUGCUGCCUUUGGCCACCAUUCCUACAGCAUGCGUGCCGCCGAUGUGCUCUAUGACUGCCUGCCACUCUACCACUCUGCAGGGAACAUCAUGGGUGUGGGGCAGUGCGUCAUCUACGGGUUGACGGUGGUACUGCGCAAGAAGUUCUCCGCCAGCCGCUUCUGGGAUGACUGUGUCAAGUACAAUUGCACGGUAGUGCAGUACAUAGGUGAAAUCUGCCGCUACCUGCUGAGGCAGCCGGUUCGCGACGUGGAGCAGCGACACCGCGUGCGCCUGGCCGUGGGUAAUGGGCUGCGGCCAGCCAUCUGGGAGGAGUUCACGCAGCGCUUCGGUGUGCCACAGAUCGGCGAGUUCUACGGCGCUACCGAGUGCAACUGCAGCAUUGCCAACAUGGACGGCAAGGUCGGCUCCUGCGGCUUCAACAGCCGUAUCCUCACGCAUGUGUACCCCAUCCGUCUGGUCAAGGUCAAUGAGGACACGAUGGAGCCACUGCGGGACUCCGAGGGCCUCUGCAUCCCGUGCCAGCCCGGGGAACCCGGCCUUCUCGUGGGCCAGAUCAACCAGCAGGACCCUCUGCGGCGUUUCGAUGGUUAUGUUAGUGACAGUGCCACCAACAAGAAGAUUGCCCACAGCGUUUUCCGAAAGGGCGAUAGCGCCUACCUCUCAGGUGACGUGCUAGUGAUGGACGAGCUGGGCUACAUGUAUUUCCGUGACCGCAGCGGGGACACCUUCCGCUGGCGCGGGGAGAACGUGUCCACCACGGAGGUGGAAGCCGUGCUGAGCCGCCUACUGGGCCAGACGGACGUGGCUGUGUAUGGGGUGGCUGUGCCAGGCAAGCUGGGGACACAGGGUGGUUGUGGUGUGCAGGAGCCCCAUGGAGUCCAUCCAGAAGGGACCUGCAGGAGUGGAGGGGAAAGCUGGCAUGGCAGCCAUCGCAGAUCCCCACAGCCAGUUGGACCCUAACUCAAUGUACCAGGAAUUACAGAAGGUUCUUGCAUCCUAUGCUCGGCCCAUCUUCCUGCGUCUUCUGCCCCAGGUGGAUACCACAGGCACCUUCAAGAUCCAGAAGACCCGGCUGCAGCGUGAAGGCUUUGACCCCCGUCAGACCUCAGACAGGCUCUUCUUUCUAGACCUGAAGCAGGGACGCUAUGUACCCCUGGAUGAGAGAGUCCAUGCCCGCAUUUGUGCAGGCGACUUCUCACUCUGAGCCUGGAGAGUGGGCUGGGCCUGGACUCCUGAGACCUGGGAGCCUGACACCCCUCUUCGGGUGCUUCUCCUGCCUGGCCACAUGGACAGCAGCACCUGUGAGAGUAGGAAAAUGGAACCUGAGUGGCUGGGACCCCUCUCCUACUUCCCACUAUGCAUCCAUUUUGCCUCUGCCUUGAUCUUUUUCUCCAUCUCUUUUCUCCCUACCCAGCAGGAGCCCCACAAACACAUGUUGGCUGCUGUGUCCUGCAGUUGGACCAGUGUCCAGGGGUACAGGCUUCAGGCUGUGACCCACACUGGUACCCACCUCCCUUUCCUAUUGUGCCUUAGGUUCAUCCACGGUUCCCCUGUGGAGCAAGUGGGGGCCCACAUAGCUGCUGUCCCUGCUGAGGGUUGGUAGCAAUCACACCCUCAUGUCAGCUGGGAGACACGCGCAGUCUCCCACUGACCCCCAAUCAACUGAAAAUAUUGUUUUGACUACUUUUUGUUUUUUUGUUUUUUUGUUUUUUUUUUUGGUUUUUCGAGACAGAGUUUCUCUGUAUAGCCCUGGCUGUCCUGGAACUCACUUUGUAGACCAGGCUGGCCUCGAAAUCAGAAAUCCACCUGCCUCUGCCUCCCUAGUGCUGGGAUUAAAGACAUGCGCCACCACCGCCUGGCUGUUUUGUAUUUUUGUUUUGUUUUGAGAUAGGGUCUCACUGUGGAGGCCAAGCUGGCCUCAGACUCCCCACCCCAUUGCCUCUGGGCACCAUUCUAUAUUCUCAGACUGAUGACAAUGCACUAGUGUCCCUAGGAGUUUUCUGAGUCUCCACUUCCCUCAUAGCCUCAAGCUUCCAGAACUGACUCUGAUCACUUGGAUGUGGCUAGUGUUGGCUCUACCCACAUGUGUCAAUUCAGGGGUCCCCAGGCAUAGUCUCUGGAAGCCCUCACCCUGAAAAAGCUUGGAGAGACUCAGGAAGGUUGUUGUGUUCUCUUGGGCACCCCCUGGUGGCAGUCCUGGGCAUGCUUCCGCACUGUACUAGUGCAUAUAGCCCAGACCUAUGACAUUUGAGGUCUACCCUUCUGGCUCCUGUGGUCCCCAUUGAGAUCCUUGGUGACUCACCUCAGUCACCAAGCAGAGCCUCUGCCUGCCUUCAUCUUCGAGGUCAUGAAGGAUGUGGACAGAGCAGCUACAGGCUGCCAGCAGUCAACCACAUGAGAGUGUUACUUCCUUGUUGGUUUUUAAAAAAUAAAUGUGCUGAGCCUCGAC